rnacentral:pre_miRNA from 1 species
UACAUACUCCCUCUGUUCGGAAUUACUCGUCCAAGAAAUGAAUGUAUCUAGAUGUAUUUUAGUUGUAGAUACAUCCAUUUUUGUGACAAGUAAUUCCAAACGGAGGGAGUACUAC